GUUCGUUUCGGACGUUUGAAAAAUGUGGCGUUUAGGAGGUUGCGUGCCGGAGUCGGACCCUGCAGCAAGUCCCCCUGACCGGGGCUGUUACCCAGAGCGGGUGCGAGGCCCAUAGCUGCUACGUCUGCUUCGGAUGCGACCUCUUGGGAGUCGGGUUGCUUGGGAGUGCAGCCCUAAUUGGGUGGUAAACUCCACCUAAGACUAAAUACGGCCGUGAGACCGAUAGCAAACAAGUACCGUGAGGGAAAGUUGCAAAGAACUUUGAAGAGAGAGUUCAAGAGUACGUGAAACUGCUCAGAGGCAAACAGGUGGGCCCUCGAAAUCCUCUUCGGGGGGAUUCAGUUAGGAAGGGUCGAGGUGGCGUGCGAUAUAAACGGACCCUGUUCGGGGCCGGGUCGCCGUCACGGUCUCGGCUCGAUCUGACGCAUUUCUCUCCGCACAAGGACGCCGCAUCCGGUUGGGUAGCUGCGUGAGUCGGCCGUAAGGGUUCGCAAUGGCAGGUGACUGCGGCGUUGCCCUUCGCAGCUAGUUAUUUUCCUGCGGACUCGUGGCGCGACACCCGACCGAGGUUGAACUGUUCCCUCUUGGGAACUGGCCGUCCCCUUCGCAGCGGGUGCUGGCAGGUGUUUCAUGUCGUCGCAUCGUCACUCUUGUAGUGUCCUGCGCUUCAUGUUCUCUGUUGGGGUGCAAGGGCUAGCGGCGAGUGAGUCGGUCACCCACCUGACCCGUCUUGAAACACGGACCAAGGAGUCUAACAUGUGCGCGAGUCACGGGGUCUUGUCUAGGCCCAGAGGCGCAAUGAAAGUGAAGGUCGACUUCGCGUCGGCUGUGUUGGGAUCUCUCGUCCUUUGCGGCGGGAGAGCACCAGCGAUCCGUCCUAUCCGAUUUAUCGGUUGGCCGGAACCGGAGCGUACACGUUGGGACCCGAAAGAUGGUGAACUAUGCCUGGGCAGGACGAAGCCAGAGGAAAC
rnacentral:rRNA from 1 species